CCAGAAUUAGAAGACAAAGCUUUCUGUUGUAGAUGGGGAAAGAGGCACCUCUAUCCCCUCUAUAGUUCCUGACUAUACCAGAACUCUCACCAGCAACUGUUUACUGUGAGCCACAAAGCAUAUAGGAAAUCAAGAUACUUGCUACAUUUUGGUAUUCUCUACUGCUGGUUUAUUUGUGAGGCUCAAGAUCCCUGGUCUGCACAUAUCCCUCUAUAUGGUGAGAUGCUUUCGUAAACUACCUCAUCACUAUCUUAUCGAAUAAGAGAGCCAUAU
rnacentral:lncRNA from 1 species